CCCGUGAAGGACUUCUCUAGCUUUGGCAGUUCGUUUUUGGCUGUGGUGUGAGCGGGUUGAAGGAAAUGUCAACCACGGUUAACGUAAAGUGGUGCUUCUUUUUGGUUAGAGAUGAUGCCAAGUUGGGUUGGUUUGUGAACUCUGAAGAUGCAGAGGUCCUUCAUGAUCUGGACAGGUUGGGCAUUGCUGGCUAGGCCUGCUUUUUUUUUUUAUUGUCUACCUCAAUGCCCAGAGAGCAGUUCAGAGUCAAUCACGUUGCAGAUCUGGAGUCACAUAGGCCCCAGACCAGGUAAGAAUGGUAGUUUACUUUCCUAAAGGACGUUAGUGAACGAGAUGAGUUUUUUAAAAUGAUAAGCAAUAGAUUCACUAUUAUCAUUCGACUCUUAAUUCCAGAAUUUUAUUCAAAUCAGAUUUUACCAGCUGCCAUGAUGAGGUUUGAAUCUGGGGCCCCAGUACAUUAAGCUCUGAAUUAGUGCUUAGCAGUAAUACCCACUCAGCCAUCACCUCACCUAAAAUGGAGUUUUCACCAACAUUACUGUAAUAAUGAAAUGAAAUCCAUUAUGGAGUGUCUUUGAAAUCAUGUUUCUGCUCUCUAGCAUUUAGUCUUAAUUAUAAUCAUUAAGUGAAGAAUUCCAAAUUAAAUUUUAUACAAAAUACUUAAGCUGUAGUGAGGAUAGUCAGUGUUCCACUCUGUUAUCCCUUUCAAACAUAUCUGGAAAUGACCUGAAUGAAUUAUUGCUUUGCUUAAAAUACUUUGCAUUAACUUAGUCUCUUAACAUAAUGAGAGAACUCUGCCAACCAGAUAAACUUUGAAUUUGCUUUAUGCAUCGUAAAGGUUUGUUAGUGUAAAUUAUUCUUCACUUAACAGGAAUGUUUAAAAUUUUAUUCAGUUUUAAAUAUUCAGUUGGCAAGAAUAUGAUUGCAGUUUUGUGAUUUUUAAUUUUAAACAUGAAAAAUUGCUUUUUCUUUAAAGCAUCAUGGUAAUUUUGCUACUUGUUCAAAUUAACAGCAACAGUCAGGUUUGCAAGUUUGCAAAAUAGUACUUCAAGGACAUUUUUUCAGAUCUGAAUUUUAACCAUAACAGAGGAUGCAAACUCAUACCUUUUUUAUAAUUGAUUCAGUAGAUGUGUCUGAACCUGUUUUUUUUUCUCUUCAAACUCCUUUUGUCUCCUUUUUUAAAAAACUUAAGUCUCAUCCAUUUAGUAACAAACUAAGGCUAUUCAUUAAGGAUGCUAUCCUCACUUUUAAAUGAAUGCCCCAAAUUUGGGACUGUAAGAAAAUAAUAGAAUGCUAAUGGAAACUUAUCAAGCUUAAAAUAUUAGUUCUUGGGAUAAUGAUGCACCCCAGCCCCUUUAGGGCCCUCCAGUCACAGUACUGUAUGGACCGUGUAUACCCUUUUCUUGGUCUCAAAAGCACAUAUUUAACCAUGGAACAGGGAUGGACAGUUGGGUUCUACAACUCCUUUCAUUGCCUGCUGACUGGACUUGUCCACCAUCAUGGGCAGGCCCAAGAGCAAGACCUCUGAUUUUGCCCACUCCUCUCCACGUGAGGUCCCCAUAAAUCAACAGCAUGAAGCAGAAGUGUCACCGAAAAUUUAAAAGCAGUCUCUUUAAAUAGCUGGACGGGGGCUGGAGACUAUACCAAUCCAAUAAAUGCAAAACAUAGUCUCCGGGCUGAAAAAAUUAUUUGUGGUCUGGUAUGGGUUUCUUUUAUUGGCUGCAUUGGAACUGAAGAACAUAGAGCAGAAUUAGUGAUUUUCGCUCUUCAAGCCCACUUCAACAUUUCUGUGCUAUCCCUGUGUUCCUAUUGUUUUAACUCUUCCUUUUUUUUAUUUUAGUAUUUAAAAUUUCUCAGUGACUGACCCUCCAGCCUUCAGGGAUAGAGAAUUCCUAAGAUUCGGAGGAAAGAAAUUCACCUCUCAGAUUUGCAUAACCACCUUUGUUCGUGGGCCUCUUAGUUUUAGGUCUCUAUUGUCUCAGUUGUCUGCGUCAUUUAAGUCAAGAGAAACAUUCUUUCUGCGUAUUCCCUGUUAAUCCCAAAUAUAUAGGUCCAGUUAUUUUGAUCUUUUCUAAAAGAACUGCUAAAUAAAUUGGUUAAUGCUGAAGAUUAAAUUUGAUGCAUCGUUUUGUUGCAUGCAUCUUCAUUUUUAAGGAGCACUGCAAAAUCACUUGGCAUACACAAGUCAAAGUAUUCUAUUCCAGAAAAACCUUCAGUGUCAGUGAGAAAAUGCCUAACUAAUUACUUGAAACUUGGCUAUGCAAAAAGCACAUAACAGUAAUUUAAGUAACUUUCAUGUGUGUGAAGAAAUGUUUUACACCUACCUUGUAGAAUAAACCUUAAUGUUGAUUUUAAAAUUUUAAUGUCAGAAAAAACUUGCAACUUCAAACAUGACCUUUUGGACGAAAUUUGCAUGGAUAGUUUCAAAAACUGAGCAAAUACCAUCAUAGUACUGUUAACAGUUGGCGUGCUUUUUUUCUGAGACUCAAAUUACAGACUGCGCAAGUGGAGCACUGAGUUGAACGCCUGAGCACCACCUGCUGGAAUGCCAUCUUGUUGUUUGCUGUUUCAGUAGAUCACUGAGAUUAGAUUGAUUUUAGAAUUUCGAACUCGGCACAGUUGUCUGCAUCAUUACCAAGUGGCCAAGUCAAAUGAAGACCACAACGAUGGAAAAGAGAAAUGGGCAGUGUUGUAUGGUUAACAUCGAGAUAUGAAUUAAAAUUGGACAUAAAUACUUGCAAACCCUUAUUUUUGUAUCAACAAGGGCACAACUAUUUUGCUUAACUUUUGGACCUGUUUGCUACUUACUGCCAUCUACUUCAGAAGUGUGUAUUUUUGUAAGAAUGUACUCAAUAUUGUUCUUAAUCUUAUCUGUGUAAAUUAAAUAUAUUUUGAGUUUAGAUGUGCUUCAGAUGUGUAUUUGCAAUGUAAUGGUCCUCAAAUUCUGGUGUUUCCAUGGUGUUACACAUAAUGAAAUUAGUACUGACUUAAAAAUAUGUGGUUGUGUAUGUGUCAGAAUAUCUGGAUGGAGGAAGAAAAUUGUGGGAAUUAUUACUAUAGAAUAGCUGUAUAUCUUAACAAUUAGACUUUUUUUUGAUAUGGUUGAAUGGCUGAAGUGAAAUGUUCUUUGAUUUAUCUGCAAUACUAACUACCCUAUAGAAUUCUUUUAGAUCUCCAAGGCUCCUGGACAGUGCCUAACCAAUAUUAUGUCUGAUGCAACUCAAAAGGCCAUAUGUUUUCUUCAAUUUUUGUUUCAAAUUCAUUCUUAAUAGGUUCUUUUGGGUUUAUUGUAUCUUUUGUUUUCCCCUGCAUCUUCCCUUUCAGUGAUCUGUAGAGGACAGACUUCUUGCUUGGUUUACAUUAGUGCAAUUGAAUUGAAAGAUUAAAUUGGGUAGAAAGAUAAAUUUCUAUAACUAAUAGAGAAAACAGACUAAGUUUGUAAGAUGUUCGCUUAUACUUCCUUCUCACUCAUUGAAUUGUUAAUACAAGUAAAUGCAACUUUAAAAUUGUCCAGUUUUGAGAGUAUUCCAGUUGGAACUGUUGAAUUCAGGCAACAGCUCAAAUUGUCCAAUGCUUCAGGAUUGCUUUGAAUCUGUACUAUGCCUUUAACAGACCUGCAAUAUGGUAUGACUAUGCAUUUUGUGCAGCCUCUAAAAAAUUGAAAUUUCAGAUACAUACCUUCUGAGCUCUUUUUUGAAUUGGUUAAAUUUCAUUUCUCCUUUUUUAUUCCUCAUGCACUAUGUCUUUUUAUAAUCCUGCAAUACUUGAGAAUUAGAGAAUACAUUCUCAAAACAUUAAAAAUGCUGAGUGAAGUGGCAUUGUAUGAACUGAUAUUUAAAGAACGGUUUAUUGAAUUCUCAGUUUCAUGCAUCUGAGUGAAUUCUUUCUCUCACCAGCACCCCCUCCCCUGCACCCCUCCCAAAAAGAUGGUAUUUGGACAAUACUAGUAAUUCUGUUGUCUUUCACUGAUCUCAGAACUAAAUUAUGAAGUGUUUGUAGUUGCUUCUAGCACACAAAAUUCUUUCUAUGCCAAAAACUUAAUUCCAGAAGUUUGAGUAUAAUUUGUGAUUAAAUGUUGUCAGAAAUGGAAGAGAACUUAAAAAUUUUAAUGUCUAGUCAUGAAUUCACGUUUCAAGUGAAAUUGGCUUAGUCUGACAGAACUUCUAGCCUGCUUCUUCCUUUCUUGCAUGGAGAAAAACUGAAAUCUUGUAACUUGGUAUCAUCAAGUUUCUAAUGCAUCUGGUUGUAUUUCUUUAAACCUGAGAGUAAAGGGACGAACAAGAAAUCAUCUUAUGCAAUCUCCAAUUCACCCUUUUGUUUCCUCCAGUUCACUUCAUCCAAAAACAAAACACUGUUAACAUGACAAACUAUUAUGAAGCAGUGGGGAACCAUGAUUUUAUCCACAAGAUCACUUUGCUUAUAGCAGAAAACCAAAAAAUUCAGCAACGAGCAAUACAGUGCACUGUAGACUUAGUUUUAAUUUAGCAGAUUUUAAAUCAUAUGUAACUUAAGGCUUCUAAUUUAUCAGUUUUUUUUGUUUCAAAGGAGUCUGUUAACUUACUUAUCCCAUUGCAUAAUCAGUUUGAUGCUUUGAAUUUUGUAACCAAACACAACAAAAAAUGUCUCCAGGUGAAACAUUUACUCUUUGGCAAUAUCAAAUUAAUUGGUGCAAGUUUUAUUUUGUUGUAGGAAGUGUUCACUUGACCAAAGAUUACUAGUACUGCACUGAAAACAGAUCCAAUUCUUCAAGUACAGUUGCAUUAAAAAGUAUGAUGUUUGGAACUCUACUUCAGUGCUAUUAAAGAAAGAACUGGACAUUAGCCAUAUUAUCAUUAAAGCCAAUCACCGAUGUUUUGUUCAAUUUAAACAAGAUUCUGGUCAUUCUUAAUUUAAGCAUUUGCUUUGACAUGUCCCACUGCCCUUUGUUUUAGGGACCAGAUGUUGACAAGGUACUUGGUAGAGAUGAGUGGAAAUGUAAUUGACAGGCGAUAGGAAUGAGAUAUUAAGCAAGAUUAGAGACAAAUGGAAGAUCUUCAUUUUUUCAAAUUGUGAACAUAUAGUACACUUGUGAUAUCGAUGUCUUGUACAAGAUCCCUGUAGGUAGUAAAUUUUUUUUUAAAAAUCCUUGAAGGUGCUGUAUUGUAAAUUGUGAAAUCCUGUGGCGUGGUAAAUUGUGUACCGAUAUUUAUUAGGACGAAGUGUCAGUUUGAAGAUCACUGACUUAAAAUGUAUUGAAUGGAAUUGUAUUUUACUGCAACUAAUGGUAAUCUGAUUGGAUGCUUAAUUGGCAUAUAUUGUGUGGGCAUAUAAUUUUAAGUAGUGCUGUAGUCGAAAGGUUAAGCGUAGCUUUCAGGCCUUUUUUUUUAAAAAAAGCCUUUGGCAGAAAAACUGAAUUACACAAUGUGGCAGUAAUGUCCAAGUAUUUUGGCGUGUAAUCGCAGUACAGACAAUCGGAUUUUUACAGCUCUGCUACUGCCAAGACAUUUAAAUGGAGCACAAUUUUUAAAAGCUCUGUUUGAAGCAGUUCUUGAGAAACACAUGGAACAGAGAAAGUUGCUUAUGAAUUCAGCUCCUAAUAAACUGGUAAAAGUGUUUAAGUCAGUAUCUGAAGCUCAUGGUUGAAGUAUGCAACUCAACUUUGAGAAAUUCACAGUUUUUGUAUCAUCAUCCAGAGGUACAAUAUCCUGUCUGUCUGAAUAGUUAUAGAAGAAUGAUCAUAGAUCAUGUUAUGUUUGUUUUUUUUCUGCAUUUUGCUAACCAGGUCAUCUGACAGUGAACAAGAUUUUCUCAUGAUCCUGCUGCUCUUGUGAAUAGAUGAGAGCGCACAAUUUAGGUACUACAAUGUGGGCUUGUUCUCCCCCCCCCCGCCCCAGCUUUUUAGCAGCAUUAAAAGUAAAUGGAGUUAAUCUCUCACUGAAGUUUAAGUAAGGUUAUACAAAGUGUUGAGCUGAUGUGAAUGAUAUGUUGUUUCUUCUCAUGAUUGUAUAUUUUAAUUCGAAUGUGUACACAGUUCUUGUCAGUCUUUACACACCUUCAUUCUCUCAUUGUCCAUAUUGUUUUUAACUUACACACUUGAUACAUUUUCUGUAUUGAAUAUUUUAAUGUGAUUUAUAGUGGAAGAACAAAGCUCAACUUCACUUGGGAUGCUAAUCUUGACAACUUGAAUGUGGAAGAAAUUGGAAUACAUUUACAAUGCUGGUUAUGAGUAAUUGUUUCUCCCCCAGAUGUUAUUUCCUUAUUUUAUCUUCAGUUACCUUACAUAGAUAUGUUGUGCUGUUCUUUGGAGUUUUCACACAAUAUAGCAGUGGUUAAGUCUGGCAUUGAGGAAACUCCUGUGUUUAAUCUACAAAAUCUUUCAAUGUAAUAUUGCAAAUGAUGUACUGUACUUACAGAAGCUGCGCAUAGCUUCACAGUUGAAAUACACUAAAAUUGAUCCACUAUUGUGGAUAACUUACUUGAAUGUAGCCAUUUUAAUUGUGCAAAUUGCAAAAUGCCUUACUUGUCAAUUGGCAUCACAGUUCCAGUAAUGCUUAUUUAUGAUUGAAUACAGUAAAGUAGGCUGAUCUUUUCAAGUAAGUUGGUACUUGUUAGGAAACAUUCAAGAAUAAGGAAUAGACAAACCAAUGACAGUUGACAAUAGUUCCAGAAAUAUUAAUGAUAAAUGAGCCAUGAUUUUCAGUUACCUCUAACCAGUUAACAUUUUUGUGAAUAAUAUGUACAUUUUGAUAUACAAGUCAAUAGCUUAUGUAAUGACAGGAUGAAAUUAAUACUGACCAUCUACUACUCUACAAAAUUCCUGUUUCUAUUAAGAACGAAUACAUAAUACUGUCACUGCAAAGGAGACAACUCUGGAUUUUAAAGCUGUCAGCUGCUGUAUUGCUGUAUACGUAGUACAAAACGUUCACAGUACAGCUGAACUGUUCACCUAAGAGAAGCAAUCUGAGGAAGUUGGAUAUGCAUUCUCUUUUUCCUUUGGAAGGAAGUUUCUCUGCAAAAUGCAUCUUGAUCAGACUCCAUGUAGCGCAAUGGAAAGCAAAUGUAACUUCCAGUGGUACACAAACAUCGGUACUCUUGCAAAUCCACAGUUCAUAUCUUGUUCUUCUAACAGUUUGGUGUUCAAACUUCUUUUUACAGGAAAAGCAGAAAAUUCUCCAGGAGAGCUUCCUUUUUUGAAUGUGGUAUUAAUAAAAUGAGCAUUUACCUUCUAGUACUUCCAAUGGUUAAUGCAGGAAAAACAAAGAUUAAUCAGUGUUAACGACACAUUAACUGACAAAUGCAAAUUUUAAUCAUAUUUAAUAUCAUUUGUAGAAGCUUGUAAUUAUUAUAUUUAGUGAGCAAUAGAAUAUAUUUAAAAUUAUCUGAAGUAUAGAACAAAAACGCAGUUUUCAGCCUUUAGAAUCAUAGAAUCCCUAUAGUGUGGAAACAGGCCCUUCAGCCCCACAAGUCCACACUGCCCCUCCAAACAGCAUCUCACCCUGACUCAUUCCCCUACCCCUUUUCCCUACGUAUAACCCAAACAUGCCUGGACACGACAGGCAAUUUGGCAUGGCCAAUCCACUUAAGCUGUGCAUUUUUUUUGGACUAUGGGAGGAAACUGCAACACCCAGAGGAAACCUGUGCAGACAGGGAGAAUGUGCAGACUUUACACAGAGAGGCACCCAAGGGUAGAAUUGAACCUGGGCCCCUGGCACUGUGAGGCAGCAGUGCUAACCACUGAGCUGCUUAUGAAUUAGGCAUUCGUUAUGCUCGAGGUUGAACUAAUUAUUAUAACGCAUUCUAAUAUUGAACUUUUUUUUUAAAAAACUGAUUAACAGUGAAGCAAGUUUAUGUGCCACUAUUCCAUAAAGCUUCAUCUCCAUUAACUGCUAUUUUAGGCUAGGCAGGGUGAACCUGUUACCUCCCAUUCACUUAAAUUACGUAUUAUCUAUUUAUAGAGUCAGAUGUACAGCAUGAAAGCAUACAUAAAUCAUCCAUGCCAACUAGGUAUUCUAAACUGGUCUAGUCCCAUUGCUAGCAUUUAGCCUAAAUGCCUCAACUCUUCCUAUUCAGGUACCCAUUCCAGAUGCCUUCUAAAUGUUAUUGUACCAGCCCAUACCAGAUCUCUCAGCUCAUUUAUACAUGCACCACCCUCUGCAUGAAGUUGUCACUUAAGUCCAUUUUAACUCCUUCCAGUCUCGCCUUAAAACUGGUGUCCUCUGGUUUUGAAUUUGCACAUCCUGGUGGACAAGACCUUGGCUAUUCACCCGAUACGUGUCCCUCAUUUAUAAACCUCUAUUUCAGUACAGAAUUUAUUGACUUAAAGCUAUAAAACAUGAUCUCAGCUAUAAUUUUGGCAUUGUGUCAGAUUGCGUCUAAUGUUUAGAUUACAUUAGAUUAGAUUCCCUACAGUGUGGAAACAGGCCCUUCAGCCCAACAAAUCUACACCGCCCCUUGGAGCAUCCCACCCAGACCCUUCUCCCCCCACCCAUAACGCACACACUACGGGGAAUUUGCAUGGCCAAUCCACCUAACCUGCACAUCUUUGGACUGUGGGAGGAAACCGGAGCACCCAUAGGAGACCCACGGAGAAUGUGCAAACUCCACACAGACAGUCGCCCGAGGCGGGAAUCGAGCCCAGGUCCCUGGCACUGAGAGGCUGCAUUGCUAACCAAUGAGCCACUAUGCUGCCCGAUUUGAUUCAUACACUAGAUUAGGAAGUACCCUUUAGAGAUGCAAUGUAUCAUUGACUCAAGUUGCGAGCCUCCGGAGAACAGCAGGUGACCAUGGUGCUGCAUAGUCUGUUUGAUGUAGCCCUCUUCCUGUCUCUCUCAUUCUUACCUUUAGUCUGCUUUACACACAUUUUGAUUAAUUGGAAGCACUAGUGAUUUCGUGAUGGUGGAUAAUAGGUUUAAAAAGUCGCUGGGGGGCGGGGCGCAGGGGAGCUGUUACGUCGUUUGUGAUAACUCCUCACAUCUGGAAAAAAGAUGUAAACGCUUUAUAUUGAAAAAAUAAGCUUCCAUAUCUACUGAAGGUUUGGGGGACUAAUGCCAAUUAGAAACCUUUGGUGUUAAAUAAUAAUCCAAUGUGAAUACUAAGCAUUUCCAUAGGGCUUAUGUAAAAUGUAACAUGAAAUAAAUUAAUGUAAGUUUUCAA